rnacentral:tRNA from 1 species
UCCCUGGUGUCCAGUGGUUUGGAUUCUGUACUUGCACUGCAAGGGGCCCAGGUUCGAUCCCUGGUCUGGGAA